UAGGGAAUCUUCGGCAAUGGACGAAAGUCUGACCGAGCAACGCCGCGUGAGUGAAGAAGGUUUUCGGAUCGUAAAACUCUGUUGUUAGAGAAGAACAAGGACGUUAGUAACUGAACGUCCCCUGACGGUAUCUAACCAGAAAGCCACGGCUAACUACGUGCCAGCAGCCGCGGUAAUACGUAGGUGGCAAGCGUUGUCCGGAUUUAUUGGGCGUAAAGCGAGCGCAGGCGGUUUCUUAAGUCUGAUGUGAAAGCCCCCGGCUCAACCGGGGAGGGUCAUUGGAAACUGGGAGACUUGAGUGCAGAAGGGGAGAGUGGAAUUCCAUGUGUAGCGGUGAAAUGCGUAGAUAUAUGGAGGAACACCAGUGGCGAAGGCGGCUCUCUGGUCUGUAACUGACGCUGAGGCUCGAGAGCGUGGGGAGCAAACAGG
rnacentral:rRNA from 1 species